UACGUAGGGUGCAAGCGUUAUCCGGAAUUAUUGGGCGUAAAGAGCUCGUAGGCGGUUUGUCGCGUCUGCUGUGAAAACCGGAGGCUCAACCUCCGGCCUGCAGUGGGUACGGGCAAACUAGAGUGCGGUAGGGGAGAUCGGAAUUCCUGGUGUAGCGGUGAAAUGCGCAGAUAUCAGGAGGAACACCGGUGGCGAAGGCGGAUCUCUGGGCCGAUGCUGACGCUGAGGAGCGAAAGCGUGGGGAGCGAACAGG
rnacentral:rRNA from 1 species